rnacentral:tRNA from 1 species
GCGACGUUAGCUCAGCUGGAUAGAGCAAUUGCCUUCUAAGCAAUAGGUCACUGGUUCGACCCCAGUACGUCGCG